rnacentral:rRNA from 1 species
GGGUAAUGUCUGGGAAACUGCCUGAUGGAGGGGGAUAACUACUGGAAACGGUAGCUAAUACCGCAUAAUGUCGCAAGACCAAAGAGGGGGACCUUCGGGCCUCUUGCCAUCAGAUGUGCCCAGAUGGGAUUAGCUUGUUGGUGGGGUAACGGCUCACCAAGGCGACGAUCCCUAGCUGGUCUGAGAGGAUGACCAGCCACACUGGAACUGAGACACGGUCCAG